rnacentral:rRNA from 1 species
UGUAAUUUGUAGAGGGUGCUUUGGCGUUGGCUGUGGUCUAAGUUCCUUGGAACAGGACGUCGCAGAGGGUGAGAAUCCCGUAUGUGGCCGCCAGUCUUCGCCGUGUAAAGCCCCUUCGAC